rnacentral:rRNA from 1 species
GACGAACGCUGGCGGCGUGCCUAAUACAUGCAAGUAGAACGCUGAAGGAGGAGCUUGCUUCUCUGGAUGAGUUGCGAACGGGUGAGUAACGCGUAGGUAACCUGCCUGGUAGCGGGGGAUAACUAUUGGAAACGAUAGCUAAUACCGCAUAAUAGUAGAUGUUGCAUGACAUUUGCUUAAAAUGUGCAAUUGCAUCACUACCAGAUGGACCUGCGUUGUAUUAACUAGUUGGUGGGGUAACGGCUCACCAAGGCGACGAUACAUAGCCGACCUGAGAGGGUGGACGGCCACACUGGGAAUGAGAAACGGCCCAAGAUCCUAAGGGAGGCAGCAGGAGGGAAACUUCGGCAAUGGACGGAAGUCUGAACGAGCAAAGCCGGGUGAGUGAAGAAGGUUUUCGGAUCGUAAAGCUCUGUUGUAAGAGAAGAACGAGUGUGAGAGUGGAAAGUUCACACUGUGACGGUAUCUUACCAGAAAGGGACGGCUAACUACGUG